GCGCCUCUAGCUCAACUGGAUAGAGCGUCUGGCUACGGACCAGAAGGUUGGGGGUUCGAGUCCCUCGAGGCGUA
rnacentral:tRNA from 1 species